AGUUUCAUCAAGGCAGGAACCAGGUGGAUCUUGCCCAUGGUUUAUGUCUGAGGCUUUGGACACUGCCCUGUACAACAUAAGUUUUACUUUGUGUGAAAUACCACGCUGAACAUUGGUGACCUGGAGAUAUAGAAGAAGGUGUGCAGCUAGACUGUGGAACAGCUCUCAGAAGCUCACAUUUAAAUGUGGGAUGAUAUGGAGGCUCCAGGUAAAAUAUUUGUCUGGUUCGGAGCAUGGGUUUCUCAUCAUAAUUCAGUGAAGAAUUUCUGAAUCAUGUCUGCUCUUUAGAAUCACCUGGGGGAGCUUUUAAAUAUUCCAAUGCCUGGCCACACCCCAAAUCACUUAAAUCAGGCUCUCUGGAGGUGGAUUCCGGACAUCAGUUUAUUAAAGCUCCUCAGUUGGUUUCAUUGUCCAGCCAGUUGAGAGUCAGUGCUCUGGCAGGAUUAAAACAUCUUCAGAAGUUCCAGAUAACAGGAACAUCAACCACCAGCUGAAGAUGAAAGGACAUUCCAUUCUUUCUCUGCUUUCAAAUGUCUGGUACUGAAUACUGUUUUUCCAGCUCAAAAUAAGGGUUUGAAAACUCUUGUGUGUAAUCAUGCCUCCCAAUGUGUUAUGAUCUUGUCUAAGCUGGGCAAGUGUUACAAAUUAUAAAUGGCCUUCCUGGUACUGUAUAUAGAUGUGGGAAGGACUAUAUUAGGACAUGCUCUACUCUGCCACAAGCACACAUCAAUAGAGAUUUGUUUUCAACAUAAGAACAAUUGCCAUUGUCAUAUUCCGAACUGUGUGCAAAUUGUUUUAUUAUAAACUCACUGUUGGUCCCUAUUUAACUGGGAAAUCAUUUGUUCUAAAUUUAUCUAUUCUCUCUGCAUGGCAUUGACAUUUGCUGGCAAUGCCAGACUUGCUUCACUUAUAAGAAAAAGAUUCCAUGGAGAACAGGCAGUGCUCUCAUCUAACUGAUUAAUAAUCUCUAGAGGAUUUUUGGAACUGGCAUGUUAACUCUUCCCGCUCUCUGGCUAAUUUUGACUUUCACUGAACUCAGAAACACAAACAAUGGUUUUCAUGAAAUGGAGCAGUAAAAGCGUUCUUCAUCAGACCAGCUCUCCAAAGAAAGAAUACUCACUGGCAAAGCUUAAAGAUGAGAAAUGAGAUGUGUAAUGAAAAGUUGUUUGUUUUCAAGAGUUUUACAAGUCAAUUUGGGUCACUUGAUCAGCCAGAUUUUUAUGUCUGUACUAGGCAACCAUUACAUGUUUUCAGAUUGAAAAAAAAAAUAUCCAUCUUUACUCUCCAUGGCAUCUGUAGUUUGUUGAAACCAUCCUUCAAUUUAAUGCAGACAAAGACUUUCUAAAGUCACAUGAUCUGUUUGAGUAAUAGGAAUCCAUUAAGAUUGAACAGAGAUAUCCUAUAUUAUAGUGAUUUCUCCCUUUGUGGAUUUUAUAACUUUCCUACCAAGCUCUGGUGUUUUAAGAUGACAUUUUGAACAUUGGAUUUAACUACCUGAAAGCCUAUGACACGGAAUUGCCAGCAGCCAGCUGGUAGCCUGGAAGGACCUUACUUAGUCAUGACUAUCUGCUUACUACUUCUUUUUAGUAUAAAGAUAAACUGCUUCAGGAGGAUGUCUUGAUUUACAGACAUCCUUUUGUUAUUUCCUUAGAAAUGCUAUUCAAAUAUAGAACUAAGGGAAAAGUCAGAUAUAAAUCUUCAGAGCCAUUAAGUGGCACAAUCUGAGUAUAAAUUUCAUGGUACCAGUGAGGGUUCCAGAUCUUGAUAGUGACUGUUGCUAAUCCAAAUAUUUCCACUGAGGAAAGGACACUCAUUAAUUACUGGUCUAAACACAUGGAAGCACCAGGAAAACCUUUGCUUUAGCCAUGGUAUGUUUGACUACAAACAACAAUGGCAUACAUAUGUUUAUGUAAUUAUUUCCUAUGUGUUUCAUUUGAAAGCUAGCUAAAAUUUAUGUUGCCCACUCUUGAUAAAAACUAAAAGAAGUAAACAAUAAAAGCAAAAGGCAAACUGGUUUAACACUGACUUGACAAAAGGCUCACUUUUGAAUUGGUAUCAUUCACCAGAAGACAAAACACUGGCUAUUAUUUGGGCUUUGGUUAUAGCACAGCAUGUAGUAGGGUGUCAAUAAUAAACAUAGAAUAAAAUUAAUGAAAGCAUCUGUAAUGUAUAUUUGAACAUAAGAACCAUAUUUUGAAUAGAAGAUCAUAUGUGCUUUUUCUUUAAAAAUCUAUAAAAUUUAUAUCAAACCUCACAAUUUUUAUUAUGAGUUUUCAUGAUUAAAUUAUUGCCCCAUCUACUCAGGCUGCUUUUAAUAUUGCCUUUGUUCAUGUAACCAUGGCAACAUCUUUGGUAUCUAUACUUCAGGUCCUGGUCUUUCAUUCCACAAUGGGUCACUUUGCUCUGCGUCUUUCAUAACAGAAAUCAUCUGAGGGCACAGGCAGUCUUGGAAUGGGAUUAUAUUUUUCAUGUCCUUUCUGUUAAGGGCUGACUUGUGUCCUCCCAAAAUCCUCAUGUUGAAAUUCUAACUCUAGGCCUUAAGUAUGUGACUGUAUUUGGAGAUAGGGUCAUUAAAGAGGUAAUUAUAUUAAAAUGAGGCCAUUGGGAUGGGCUCUAAUCCAAUAUGACUAGUAUCCUUAUAAGAAGAAAUUCAGACACAGAUAUGCACAGAUGAAGACCAUGGAAGACACAGGUUGAAGAUGGCCAUCUACAAGUUAAGGAGAGAGGCCUCAGAAGAAAUGAACUCUGCAACAUCUUGAUUUCAGACUUAAGCCUUCAGAACAGUGAGAAAAUAAAUUUCUGUUGUUUAAACCACCCAUUCUGUGUUACUUUGCUAUAUCAGCAAACUAAUGCAACUAUCUUGAUUUUCUAAAUUUUUAUUCUUCCUUCCCAAGUAUCACUGGCCCUUGAAAGUUUGAAAUAUAUUCUAAGCUUCAUGUUUAUGCAAACUUUCAAGUUUGUUUGCUUUCCUUGCAUCUCCUAGACCACCAAUAAAUCUAACCAUAUGAUUUUUCCCAGAUUACCUCCUUCUCUGAUAUUAACAGUUACAUAUUUCCUAGUUUUUGCAACAUAUCAAAUAGGAGAUCUUUUAGGAAGUUACUAUAAAUCAGAAAGGGUUUCUUUAUCAUAGUUUUAGCUAAGUCAUCUGAAAAGGAAUAUUUUCCAUCUAUGACAGGGAGCUGUAUCAUUUAAAAUGGAACUUGGGGAGGAAAUACCAAGAGACCUAGAUUCAUUUAGACUAUGAAUAUGCAUAGGCUGUACAUUAUUAUUUUUCUCUCAUAAGCUUGCCCAUUCUAACAUUCCAUAGCAAUGAAGAAAUACAAAGACACUGAAACAGAUGAUUCAAACUUUGUAUUUGGCAUGGGAUCCGGUGUCCACUGAGAUUCAAGUCUGGGGUGUAGGGAAUGAAUCAAGAUCAGCCUGGUAGAAUAGGAGGCCAUCCAAAUGCUAUGAAGAGUGAAGGAAGCCCAGGGAGGCCUUUGUUUUCCCAAUCUUUCUUCAACCCACAAGCCAUGGUUCAAAAGGCUGUUGUUAGAGAAUUUAUGUUUUGGGUCAGGAAAACUUUUAAUCAUUAAAAAUUUCUUCAAAAACCCAAAAUAUCCUCAGAGGAGCUGAGCAGUAUUUGGCCCUAUGGUGGUAAUGUGAUGAAAGUGACUUUAUUUAGGGUUAUUAUUAGUCUGACAAAUUGGAAAAACAAUUGAAACAAUCCUUUCCCUUGGAUGAUGUUAGGGGCUACUUGAGAUCAUUCCCUAAUUAGGGAUUAAAAGCAGUAGCUCUCUGGGGAUUUGGAUGUUAAGCCUGAACUUAAUGUGCCACGGAGUUUAAAGGGUAAGUAUGAUGAUGGGCAUAUCAUGCUCUGUGCAUUGAGUAAUUUCCAAAGGCUUCAUGUGAGGGCAAUGUGCAAACAGCUCUGUACAAUCAUGCUUAAUGAGAAAUCAUAUUUUAAUGUAUAAUCAUGAAAUGAUUACUUAGAUAGCCUUGGAAGUCUGAAAUUUGUCAUGUUCCUAUGGAAAGCAGGCACAUAUGCAGAUAUAUUCCUUGUCAUGCCAUUAACCAUAAACUUCUGUUAAUAGGCACUUCUGAUAUAUUGAUAAUGAAAGGAUGACUAAUGUUUCUAAUGAUGACCCUGAGGCAUGACAAAAUUCUUAAAUGCUUUUUGAAUCUUCAAAGAGAAUAAGUUACAUUUCCCAGGACCCAAAUUUAUUUUUAUCAUAUUCUAAUUCCCUGGGAAGUAGUAGUAAUUUGUAUAUAGUAUGACAUAUAUAUUCAACAUGG